GAUUCUCCUUUUUUUUUUUUUCUCCCCUUUCUUUUUUUUUUUUUUUUUCCCUCCUAUGUUUUUGGCCGCGGCCAACCAGCGAAGGGCCCUCCCCCUCCGGCACGGCCCCGCUGCUCCCCAGCCUCCGCAGCGGCCGCGCUCCCGGAGCAUGUCCCCCCCUGCCCCUGCCUUCCCCGCCGCCGCCGCGGCCACGCCGCCCGCCGAGCCGCUGCCCUGAGCCGGGCGGCACCGGCAGCCCCCGGCCCCGGGAGCGGAGCCGGCCCCGCAGCCGUCCCCUCGCGGGCUCGCUGCCUGCCGUGCUUGCUCGGAUGCGUCUGCGACAUGCCUGAGAAGAGACGAGAUGGGCCAGGGCGACGAGAGCGACCGCAUUGUGAUCAACGUGGGAGGGACUAGGCACCAGACUUACCGCAGCACCCUCCGCACCCUGCCCGGCACUCGGCUGGCCUGGAUCGCCGAGCCCGAUGCCCACAGCCACUUCGACUAUGACCCCCGCACGGAUGAGUUUUUCUUCGACCGCCACCCGGGCGUCUUCGCCCACAUCCUGAAUUACUACCGCACGGGCAAGCUGCACUGCCCCGCCGACGUGUGCGGGCCCCUGUACGAGGAGGAGCUGGCCUUCUGGGGCAUCGAUGAGACCGACGUGGAGCCCUGCUGCUGGAUGACCUACCGGCAGCACCGCGACGCCGAAGAGGCCCUGGACAGCUUCGGCGGGGCGCCCCUGGAUAGCAGCGCCGAGGACGGCGACGUCGAUGGCACCGGAGACUCCGGUGACGGGGAAGAGGAGCUGGAGAUGACAAAACGCCUGGCGCUCAGCGACUCCCCCGAUGGCAGGUCCGGGGGCUUCUGGCGGCGGUGGCAGCCCCGCAUCUGGGCGCUCUUCGAGGACCCCUACUCCUCCAGAUAUGCAAGGUAUGUGGCAUUUGCCUCCCUCUUCUUCAUUCUGGUCUCCAUCACCACCUUCUGCCUCGAGACCCACGAGAGAUUUAACCCCAUUGUGAACAAGACAGAAACUGAAUUCAUCGGGAAUGACACCCAGGUGCGGCACUACAGGGAAGCAGAGACUGAAGCCUUUCUCACCUACAUCGAAGGUGUCUGUGUGGUCUGGUUUACAUUUGAGUUCUUGAUGAGAGUCACUUUCUGCCCAAACAAGGUGGAAUUUAUCAAAAACUCUUUGAACAUCAUUGACUUUGUGGCCAUACUGCCUUUCUAUCUAGAGGUUGGACUCAGUGGCCUGUCUUCCAAAGCUGCUAAGGAUGUCCUGGGCUUCCUCCGCGUAGUCCGUUUCGUGCGAAUCCUGCGAAUUUUCAAGCUGACCCGCCACUUUGUUGGGUUGCGGGUCUUGGGACACACCCUCCGUGCCAGCACAAACGAAUUCUUGCUGCUCAUCAUAUUUUUGGCAUUGGGCGUCUUAAUCUUUGCCACGAUGAUCUAUUAUGCCGAGAGAAUAGGUGCUAAACCAAAUGACCCUAGUGCCAGUGAACACACACACUUUAAAAAUAUCCCCAUCGGCUUCUGGUGGGCUGUUGUCACCAUGACGACCCUGGGCUACGGAGACAUGUAUCCUCAGACUUGGUCAGGCAUGCUGGUGGGGGCGCUCUGUGCUCUCGCUGGCGUGCUGACCAUUGCCAUGCCUGUCCCUGUCAUUGUGAACAAUUUCGGAAUGUAUUACUCCUUAGCUAUGGCUAAGCAGAAGCUACCAAAGAAAAAAAAGAAGCAUAUCCCGAGGCCACCCCAGCUGGGAUCCCCCAAUUAUUGUAAAUCUGUCGUAAACUCUCCACACCACAGUACUCAGAGCGACACUUGCCCACUGGCCCAAGAAGAAAUUUUAGAAAUUAACAGAGCAGAUUCGAAACUGAAUGGUGAGGUGGCCAAGGCGGCGCUGGCAAACGAAGACUGUCCCCACAUAGACCAGGCUAUUACGCCUGAUGAGGGCCUGCCCUUUACCCGCUCUGGCACUCGGGAGAGAUAUGGACCCUGCUUCCUCUUAUCAACCGGGGAAUAUCCCUGCCCGCCUGAUGGAGGAAUAAGAAAGGGUUACGAAAUGUCACGGAGCCUUAACAGCAUAGCUGGCAUAAGUGGAAAAGCGAUAGGAUUAUCCUCAGUGUCUGCGCCCUACAGCUCUCCUAGUCCAGUGAGACGUUCUUGGUCUCCCAUCCCAUCUAUUUUGUAGCAUGGAUCAGUAGCAGAGAAUGGUCUAAAAAGCUUUAUUUUCAAUUAGCCUAUGCUAUGUUGCAUAUAAUCCAGGUGACUAAGUCUGAAGAUGCAAUGUCUCACAGUAGCACCUGCUGGGAAUGGUGUUACUACUGAUGCUAGGUGACAACACUCCUAAAUAGCACUCAGAUGACAAUAGGCAGGCGUUUACAUAGUACUGGUGGGCCAUACAUGCUGCAUGGUAUCAGUACAUAGGAUGAAGGGUAGAUGCACCAGAUAGCUUCCUUCCUGGUGCAUCGUGCUAGUAUAUGCUUAUUGUGGCUAAUGGCGGAUCUACUGGCUCUGUAUGGAAUGGGUUAGGCAUAUAGCCGAUGCUGAAACAUGCCAACGAUGGAAGAUUUUGCUUUUCUCAGGAUAUUUUUGAGCCAUAGAAACCCUGCAGGAGUUUGAGCAAACAAGCACAGUAGGAUGAAACUUUGCAUGGGCGCCUAUUUUAAGCUGAAAGCAAUACUCAGACACACUGUAGAGAGGUCUCAGUCUGGCUGACUGCAUGGAAAAAAAAUCCUGUUGAAGAAGAAUAUGGCUGCCUCUGCAUGUAGCUAUUUCACCUUUUCCUCCUUCCUUUAAAACUAAGAUGCCAAGCUUGAUGUGAAAAGCACAGGGAAGAAGCUCAAGUACUGAUUGUAUUCUUUACAUGCAGAUCUUUGCAAAGAAAGUCCAGUCAUUGCUAAAUAUAUGCCAACAGAGGCAGUCAGAGUGACCUGACAAGGCGAGAUGGAGAUGAACAUUGAUGGCUAAUAAACAUCUGUGUGGAACUGUGCAGGCAUAGAAGACCUUCUCAUUUGGACAAAGUUAACUCGCUCCAUGCAGGUUUUACGGAUGAUUCUUCAUGGUUCUGGAGUUGUACUAGAGAUGCAGGCUUUUUCUACGGCCAAAAUGUAACAAAACUGUAGAAGAUCUUUUUUUUUAAAUCUAUUUUUUUGUUCCAUAGCAUGAAUUGCAUGAAGACAAAAAUAGAAAAAAAAUAAAAAACAAGAAACACUGCAAAUGUAUGAUUAAGGAGAAAAAAGCAAAGUUAUAUAUUUUCUUUCAAAGCUCUUUACUUUUACAUACAUUGUUGUAGCUAAAAAUGUAAAACAUAAAACUGUACAUUUCUUUGCUAUGGAUCGCUUCUUUUUGUAUACAAGAUACAGAGUAAUGGUUUUAAAAAGUGCAAUCAGGCAGUCAUCGGUCAUAUUGACCACGCCUUCAUAGUUCAUCACACCGACAUGGAAAUCAAGAACUUUUAAUCCAACUAGAAGUGUAUAAAAAUAAGAAACUUUUUCCUGUCUGUUUUUGUUGGCAUGCUUGUGACACAUGGGACCUUCCUUCAGACCUGACAGUAACAGCUGGUCUAGAUUUAAUUUUCCAGCUCUGGUUAUGUUGUAUUUUAUUGAUGUAUAGAUCCAACGUAAAGACCCUUCAUAAAUUGUUCAUAUUAAGUAAUCAGUAUGAAUUUUAAACAAAAAAGGUGUUAUUUUAAAACUGGGACUUAUAGUACAAAAUCAGGAAGAUACUCGAGUAUAAAUUGUCUCAAAGUUUAAGAAACAAGACAACAGCAUUGUAUGCAAUUUAGUACUGAGUAAAAUGCAUGCACAAUGUUAUGCAAAACAAUUCUAGCAUGAAAUAAAUUUUGUAUCAUGGUUUCAGUGCCUGCUGUAUAGUGUAAAGGGGAAUCCUUUUCUGAAGCGAUCAGGGGUUUCCAGAGACUUGCUUCUAAAAUCUUGAAUAAAUACAGUGUUCUCAACAGAAACGUAGGAGAAGAGCUUGGUAUUGCUUUGGUUCUACAAUGCUAAUUUGGGUUAGUAGAUAAUAAAUGAAGCCUGCAAACACUUGAUACAACCGAUGUCUGAAGAAUUCACACCAUUAGUAAUUUUAACAGGGAAGAUUUAAAAACCCUAUAAUUAUCUAGAUAUCUUCCUUUUCCCUCCUCAACAACAAUAAAAGUUUGUCUUUUUAGCUGAUUAAAUGAAUUCAGUUUUUCUUACUUCUUUGGGCCCCGUCCUUCACUUGUUCUUCACUGAGCCACUGAGCCUCCUGAUACAAAACCCUGAAAGAAAUCCAGGUGUUUGAGUCGUAUUUUAUUUGCCACAUGAAACAUGCAGCAGUAAGAACCAAGAAACACAACAGGACAAAUUCAUUUUAGAACCUAGACAUGACAGCUAUGAACUAUGUGUCAACAGCAUUUUGGUGAAGUACUUUCUAUAAGGAAGGAUACACCUUUAUCCUCACAUGAAGCACUUUAAAAGAGCUGGCAACCUUCUAAACAAAAGCGAUGGCAUCUGGGACUGCUGAUGAGGAAGAAAAUGUAAUAGAAUAGCAUCCCUAAGGUCUGGAGGAAGUAGAGAUUAAAACAAACAAACCAACAACACCACAAAGAAGAACCACUUAUGGCUCUGGCAAACACCAAUGGUACUUCUUAUGACUAAGGCUCAUGGGUGCUGCACAGGGUUUUCCUUUUGGUGUUACUCAAACGUUUCAAUUCCUCCCAGCAGGAAAGCACCUUCAGCUCAGCACUGAACAAAACAUGGGCUCACGACUUUGUGCAAGACUGAACGUAGCCGGACCACUGACGAUACGUGAGGAUUAUAUCAUACAUGAAGCAGCUGCAGUGCAGAGAGGAAUAAGCAUUAAAGAUGCUUGCUUUUUACACCUGUAGAAGACUAGAAAAUCUUGAAAUUUUGCUUUCUGAAAUACAGGACAAGAACACCUGACAAAUUUGUCAGUGGAGAAAUUUGUCUUAAGGCUCUGAAUGUUAACCUGCUUCAACAGAGUAUCAGGCAUGGCAGAAAGCGACACUCAUUUGCACAGCUUACACCCCUGCCUCUCAAAAUGACAGGCACAAAAUGUGUCAGUGCUCUCUGUGUGACCACAACUAGACAGUCAUGGUCUCGUUGCAGAGACAGGGACAGAAGUCCUGUGACUAUUUCUGCAUGACAUGAAGGAGAAUAUAUGGAAAAUACCUUUUACUAAGUGCUUAGUAAGAGGUUGUCCGUGGCAAGUAAAAUGGCCAAAGCAAUAUUCCAAAGCACACCUAGGAGGGGGUGAGAGUCAUUUAGAUGUCCCUUGAGACCAUUCGGAGCCACGGCUGUUUGCACCCAUGUAUUCUGGGUAUAAAGCAUUACUGUGUCAAACUUACACACACUUUCAGCUGAAAUAAAUGAUUAUACCAAGAAAAGGAGGGGACAGCUGCAAUUCAUUCUGACCUAGAACAUUGCCUUUAAUUCUGGGUCUUGUAUGUUAAUCUUCAACACACCACUAGGAAAAGCAACAGAUGAGUGCAGAGAUGGACGCAGAUGCGAGAAUGGGCAACUCCUCCGACUGCAUUACAGCUACACGUAGCUUACCGCGCACGCUAAGGAAAUCGCAGAGCAGCAGAAGUUACAGACGGCAAGAUAGGCAGCAGCAUGCAGGUAAAAUGGUGCUUCCUUCUACUUUGUUGGUUGAAAUCAGAAACGAGAUCACACUAGGAUCUCUCAGGAAUCCUCUCCUCAAGAAAGAAUAGCUAAGUAGGAAAAGAAUAUUUUGGAAAUGCUUUGGCACUUAAUGGGUUUUAUAAAGCAACUCUUUAUACCAUACACUGGUCUAUUUACAAGUAUACAGUUUUAAGGUGAUAAGGUAUACCAGGCUAUAUAUGGCUGUCAGUCCUUGACAGCUUAUAAAAAAAUACUUAUGAUACAAUAAAAGGUAAACAGAUAUUCGAUAUGGUCACGUUUACCUACAAUUUCUGCUUGUCUGACUGCUAUUCUCUUCCCCUGAAGGGCUGUUUCCACUGAGCAAAAGCGAGUGUUUUGUUCUGGGAUUUGUUUCUGAAGAUGUUCUUUCCUGCAGAACACAAUUAUCUGUAACUCAGAACCAAGAAGUGAAAUGCUUGCUCCUUCCAUAUGGAUAUCUUCUGUAAAAUAGCUUUAUGCUUAAAUGGGCUUUAGUUUGAAUGUUUCCCCUUUCACUUUUCUUCAUCAGUUGCAAGGCUGCAUUUUGGUCAAGUUUCAAGAUAUGUGGUAUGAACGCACGCUGCUGUUGAGUGAAAUUUUAUAAAUCUGCUUGUUGAUACUGAACAAGUGAGGGCUUUUUUUCCAUGCUUAACAAGUAAUCUGAGGUGAAGUCCAGGUCAUUAGCUAAAGCAUUAGAAAUGCAAAGAGAAAAGACAAGAAAACAAGUGUUCACUGAGUUGCUCAGUUCCUUUCUUAUUGAUUGAACCAGCAGAUUUUCUCAGAGCUCCACAAAUCCUGUCUCCUAACAGACAGUAGUUGCAACUCAGCAGUGAAGUUAUUAGUAUGCCUUACUUUGAUGAAGUUUCAAGCUGUAAUGUUAGCAUAGCACAGCAUCUCAGAUCCCGGUUCCCCUGCAAGAGUCACUUUGCAGUUUUAACAGUGACACCACUGAAAUGUGUGUGUACAAAAGAGCUUUAAAAUACAAGCUCGAUGCAAGCUAUAACAUAGCUAGAGAAAAAGGGAAUUCAGGAUGAACUGAUUUACCCCCCUUUCUGGGCAGGAUUUUCAGAUUACAUUUCCUCCAUGCUGCAACUGUUGUUCUUGAUUUAGCCUACUUGUAUCUGGUUCAAAUGUGCCUAUACCACACUGUACUGUAGUGCAAGUGCACAUCUAAUAAAACCCCUAUGGACCAUGUGCCUUGUCUGUCUCGGUUUUUGCGCCUAUUCUUAUAGGGAUUCUUAAACUAGUCACUGUGUUGGGGGCCUAAACAGGAUAACUCAGGAUCUACUCAGACAGCACAAUGGCUGGGUCAUUUGAGCACCUAUAGAGAGAGCAAAAAGUAAAUGACUUAGUAACAUCCCCAUGUUAGCAGUGCUGGAGCUCAAAACCAUCAUUCCCCUCACGCAGCACAGUUCUGCGAACUAACAGCAUCCCUUUCAAAGAAGGAAACAGAGUGACUUGACUGAGCUAUGAAAGAAGAUGAAAGCAAGUUAAAAAAAAAAUCCCAUAAUUCAGACUUCACUGACCUUAAAGAGAUUUACUUCAAGUGUGUGUACCAGAAGCAAGUCAUGUUUGUUCAAAGUGGCAGAUGAAACGCAAGGUUUUUACC